GGGAUUUAGUAAACAGAAGCUUCGGCGGAAGAUUACUAAUGAGAGUGGCGAACGGGUGAGUAACGCGUGAGCAACCUGCCUAUGACAGUGGGAUAGCCUCGGGAAACCGGGAUUAAUACCGCAUAAAAUCGUAGAAACGCAUGUUUUAACGGUCAAAGAUUUAUCGGUCAUAGAUGGGCUCGCGUCUGAUUAGCUAGUUGGUGAGAUAACAGCCCACCAAGGCGACGAUCAGUAGCCGGUCUGAGAGGAUGAACGGCCACAUUGGAACUGAGACACGGUCCAAACUCCUACGGGAGGCAGCAGAGGGGAAUAUUGCACAAUGGGGGAAACCCUGAUGCAGCGACGCCGCGUGAACGAAGAAGGUAUUCGUAUCGUAAAGUUCUGUCCUAUGGGAAGAUAAUGACAGUACCAUAGAAGAAAGCUCCGGCUAAAUACGUGCCAGCAGCCGCGGUAAUACGUAUGGAGCGAGCGUUGUCCGGAAUUAUUGGGCGUAAAGGGUACGCAGGCGGUUUAAUAAGUCGAAUGUUAAAGAUCGGGGCUCAACCCCGUAAAGCAUUGGAAACUGAUAAACUUGAGUAGUGGAGAGGAAAGUGGAAUUCCUAGUGUAGUGGUGAAAUACGUAGAUAUUAGGAGGAAUACCAGUAGCGAAGGCGACUUUCUGGACACAAACUGACGCUGAGGUACGAAAGCGUGGGGAGCAA
rnacentral:rRNA from 2 species